CCCUGUAUUCAAAAGUGAUCAUGGGCUGCCCAUGCCCUGGUCAUUCAUAGUGCAGGGAAAGGAAUCAAUGAAAGUACUUCCCCGUGCUUGGAGAGUUCACUCGUGUCCCUUGCAAACUCUGGAGCUUUCGUACA
ensembl:snoRNA SNORA71 Small nucleolar RNA SNORA71